ensembl:lncRNA
UCCUGUGUUAUGCAAACACCUAAUAACUUUCUACAAUAAAAUACCAUUGUAUUAAAUUCCUGAACAUAUUAACAAUUUCCUCUUUGGUUUCUAACAUCUGUCAUUUUCACUUAGAUUUUGUCACUUGGCAAUAAAAUACUCAGACAGUUCCAGAGCCUUAUGUUGGUUGGACACUUUAUCAAGAAGCACAACACAUGCACAUGUGCACCAUCUGGGCAUAUUUAUGGGAGGAAUAACUGUCUUGUUCCUGGUUCUUUUCCUGUUUGCCGUUGACUUAACAGGGUCAUCUUUCAAGAUCUGCUCACUCUGUCCUCUCAAUGGCGUUCAGACGAGUAUCUGUGCGAGUGUCAGGUCGUGUAUACCUCAGCUGCUCUGUGGGCAAGACAAGCAGAUCCCUGUUGACACUUGCUGAAGUCAAUGGAUUCAAGCUGACAGUCUAAUGUGCUGGAUUAAUGUGUGCACUAGGAUUAAAGUAUGGAGAGAUGGAUGGAUGCAUGAUGCUAGGGGUGUAUAAGUAUAAAGAUUUUGUCUCCAGUUCCCCAUCUUCCUUCAUGCGUCUUGCAUGAAUUGUAGAAUCCUUUAUAAAUUUCUUAAGAUGGGCUUGUAUGGUAGACCAUGCUACAUAAAAUACACUGUAAAAAGUGGUUUUCUUACCUAGUGUUUUUGUCUUAUGAAUAUAUUAAAAAAAUACUCAAGAAGUCUUGUUUUCUGAAAAAAGAAUUUAAAUUAAUUAAUCAAAAACAAGAAAAAAAUAUAUCAGUCAGUUAAGAAAAAAAAAAUAAUUAAUUUAAAUCCCUUUAAAUAAGUAGUGAGUAAGAGUAGUGAGUGUAUUUACAGUAUCUCUAUUUCUUUAGCUUAAUAAUUUUUAGUUAUUUGAUGGUAUAGUAUUUUUAUAGGAUUUAUACACUUAAGAUACAUAUAGGAAAAGGAUUGUUUAAAAAACAAAAACAAAAAAUGUUUAAAAUAUCUACAAAAAACAUUUACAUUCUUCUUUAAAAAAACAGGGUUCAAAUUACAGAUUUGGAUUUUGAACAUUUAGAACAUUUAGAUGAAACAUAUAGAGAGUGGAUUUCUUGUUUGUCAUCCAACAGCUACAGAUUUCUUAAGAGGAUUUGUCAGGAGCACAGCUUUACUGCCGGUCAAGGUUUUCCUCAGCGGUGACGUCUGACCCAAAUGUUCAACGAUGCAACAAUUUGCGAAGGUGGCAGAAUCAUGUCUUUGAUUUCACUCUCCCCUGCAGUCUAUGGGAGCUUCAUAUUUGGUCUCAGGUCAGUAAGUGGAUGGGAACAAGUCUCCCCUUGUGCCUGGCUGCAGCUUUGAACAGUCUCAGACUCCUACAGACAGUGCCAGAGCAAAGGAGGUGCCAGUCACCCUGACCCGUCUGGCUGAUGAAAGCGAUGAUCACAUGCCAAGCGGGACUUCCAAACAUCAUAUUAAUGGAAAACGUUGGCUCCUAAUAGCUGUAGCACAGUCCUGAAAAGCAGGCACUUAGAAACACCAUAAACUAGAGCUACAAAAUGCAACAUAAAAAAGGAUUUAUGAGAGUGAACAAAUGUUUACAAGCCCUUUGAGUUAUUAUGAAUAUUUAUAUGAAAUUAAAAACUAAAUAAAUAUGUAGUAAGCUUAAAAUUAUGAUGUGAU